ensembl:lncRNA
GGCCGCUCGGCUUCGCGCUGCGGAAGCCCCGUACAGCCGAAUACUCAUGCCAAAGCUGACAGCCCAUGGCCUGGAAAGGUGUACUCUUCACUUGACCCUCUGAUCAGGAAGAAGAAAAGGUGAAGGCCUCAGACAACUUCAGUCAUCUGGAAGAAGCCUUCUGUUUGCAAGCCCUGAUGCUCAUGGUAGACUUUAACCACUGAAAUAUCUGCUGGAGUGUCACAGGUGAUCUAGAAGGUGCCUGAAGUGCAGAUGAUAACUUCCUAAGAUCAAGUAGCUAGUGAGGGAAAAUUCCCUUAUAGAUCUGAUUCCUAUCAACAAGAAAGAACUGGUUGAGAAUGUGAGAGCUGAGUGCAUCCUUGGCUGCAGUGACU